rnacentral:sRNA from 1 species
CCCUUGGUUGGAUCCACGCCGAACGCCGCGAGCACCUGCGACGAACCAGAUCCAUGAGACGGGGGGCAACAGCGGACGCUGGCGCGGAGAGGUGGUGGUGGGAGGCGGAGACGCGGAAGGGCUCCUUACCUCGGCCACGGACUUGGCGUAGGCGUCCUCCAUGGUCGACCGCCGCCAGCGACGACGACGAUGACGACGGCGCGCGCGGCCUCCGGGGAGUGUGAACUCCGGAGGAGAGAGAGAUGGGAGAGGGGGAGACAGAUCGCGGCU